AUGUUAAUGUGGUUUUAUUUAGUCAAUAGAAAGAUGCCUUUACAUGUACCUCCACGUCGCCUGUUUCCAGUACAGGAAAGUUGGGGUGGGAGGAGGACACUUCCUGGGCUGCUUAUCUCUGGUUGCACUUUCUUCUCAGGAGUGUGCAACAGGAUGGGGCAGGGGGCUUCAGGGGCUUCUGCUCUGCCUGGUGCCUGCCUAGCCAUUUCAGAGGAAAAGCAGUGGGUUCUGACAGUCAUCCCUCAACCUGAACAGCAAGAAUCGGGGGAUGAAUUCAGCUGCUUGCUCCUCGCGUGUGUGCCUGACGUUUUGAUAACCAUCUGGCUGACAGCGGGCUGUAUCUUUUCCUCCAGCCCUUCCCUAGCCAGGGCAGCCAUCUGCAGCUUGCCUGGGAGUUGGGUUGAUAGGCAUUCCCCAGCCUGGACAAACUCCUGGAAACUCGUUUUAGUGGAGGCUGGACGGAAAGCUCCUCUUGAUCUGCUGGAUCAUUCCUCAGCUUGGGACACGUCACCAGGCCCCCUAGUGGCCACACCCAACUGAAGCCCCAGGGCUAGCGAGCCUGGCUGAUGUAGCCUCCUGGGCAAAGAGUCCAGUGGAGAAGGAUGGAAGGCAGACCUGAAUGGGGCAAGUGAGUAGAAUCUAUCGCAAGCAUGAUAACACCAUGGGGCUGCCAUCACAAAACCCAGAACGCAGGAAACUCUCCAGAACAAACAACUUUUUUUUUUUUUUUUUUUUUUUUUGCUUCCAUCAAAUAACUUGCAAAGGUUAGGGGUGGCAGAUGGAGGAAGGACAGCAUAGGAGAACCUUUGCAUUAAACAACCCUUUUCCCCCUAACAAAGAAUUUACAAAGAGAAUGAAAGAAGGGGACCUGUAAAUUCAAAGACAUUUGAAUCAUGCACAGAUACAAAAGCAUAGACCUGUGGAUCCUGUUUCUAAGAAAUCAACUGGUAAGCAAGAUCAAUUCAAUUCCUGAAAAAAAUCUGAGAAAGUUGAACAGUGUCUAGAUAUUUGAUUAUGUGAAAGAAUUAUGGAUAGGUUCUCAGUUUUAGAUAUGAUUGUGGAAAAGAGAGAGAGGGAGAGAGCGGUUCUCACCCUGGCACAGUGGGUUAAGAAUCUAACUGCAGGAGUUCCCGUCGUGGCGCAGUGGUUAACGAAUCCGACUAGGAACCAUGAGGUUGCGGGUUUGGUCCCUGCCCUUGCUCAGUGGGUUAACGAUCCGGCGUUGCCGUGAGCUGUGGUGUAGGUUGCAGACGUGGCUCCGAUCCUGCGUUGCUGUGGCUCUGGCGUAGGCCGGUGGCUACAGCUCCGAUUCGGCCCCUAGCCUGGGAACCUCCAUAUGCCGCGGGAGCGGCCCAAGAAAUAGCAACAACAACAACAACAAAAAGAAUCUAACUGCAGUGGCUCUGGUUGCUGUGGAGGCACAGGUUCGAUCCCCAGCCCAGUGCAGUGGGUUAAAGGGUCUGGCGUUGCCACAGCUAUGGUGUAGGUUGCUGAUUCAGUCCUUGGCCCAGGAACUUCCAUAUGCUGAGGGUGUGGCCAU
rnacentral:lncRNA from 1 species